rnacentral:rRNA from 1 species
GCUUCCCUCUUUCUUCGUGCCUAAUACAUGCAAGUCGAGCGAACGGACGAGAAGCUUGCUUCUCUGAUGUUAGCGGCGGACGGGUGAGUAACACGUGGAUAACCUACCUAUAAGACUGGGAUAACUUCGGGAAACCGGAGCUAAUACCGGAUAAUAUUUUGAACCGCAUGGUUCAAAAGUGAAAGACGGUCUUGCUGUCACUUAUAGAUGGAUCCGCGCUGCAUUAGCUAGUUGGUAAGGUAACGGCUUACCAAGGCAACGAUGCAUAGCCGACCUGAGAGGGUGAUCGGCCACACUGGACCUGAGACACGGUCCAGACUCCUACGGGAGGCAGCAGUAGGGAAUCUUCCGCAAUGGGCGAAAGCCUGACGGAGCAACGCCGCGUGAGUGAUGAAGGUCUUCGGAUCGUAAAACUCUGUUAUUAGGGAAGAACAUAUGUGUAAGUAACUGUGCACAUCUUGACGGUACCUAAUCAGAAAGCCACGGCUAACUACGUG